UAAAUUUCCUGGCACAUAAUAAGGGCUUAAAAACAUUCACCAUUAUUUUUGAUCAUCCAUCCAUUCGUCUAUUCACUUGUUCCCUCGCCAUCCCGCCAUCCGUUUACCCAUCCCCCUCCCUUCCAGUCCUCUUCCUCUUCUGUCCGUGUGUCAGCAUUCCAAACUCCCUCCUUUUCCUUUCUUCCUACCUUCCCACCUUUCAUACACUUCUCUCUCCAUCCAUCCAUCCUUCUGUCCAUCAGUCCAUCUGUCCAUCAUCCACUCAUCCAGGCAUCCCUGCCUGGUGCUCCACGCCAGAUCGUUGAGAUUACAAAAACAAAUAACACACAACCCUUGACUCCAUGGGGAGCCCAGCUUAGAUGAAGAGACAGAAUUAGGCCUCUGGCUGUAGGGAGUAUUUGAUCCUGAAGAGACCAGAGAGAGAAAACCUGGGAAACUGUUUAACUUCCGUCCCAGCCCUGGAGGUUGUUUAAGAAGAUAUGUGAAACCCAACUACCUCCCAGGGCUCUUGAUGGCUCAAAGCUCAGUGGAUGAACACGGCUUGAUCAACACAGUCGGUAGCAGUGCAACGCUGCCCCUUCUGUCACGCCCCCUGCGCCCCAUCAAACAAACAAACGGCAUAAUUUGGGCUCCAGGGUGACCGUCUGUCAUGCUCUUCAAAACCAAAAAGGCUCCUCUGGGCUUAUGCGAUGUCGUUUCCCUGCCUCUUUCCACCAACUGCCUCACCUCCAUUUGGCAUCAAAUACGGUGCGUGCAGGGAGGGUCCUGCCCAGGCCACCCUGGGGAUCGUUGCCAUAUUUAUAGAGAAAACAGGACUCCUCAGACUAACAGGAUUUGCAAAGGAAGGCUCUCCUAGAAAGGAAUUCCAGGUUUCUCUUCUGAAGGCUGAGCAGCAAGGCUGGAGGCGGCAGUAAAUCUCCAGAGAAACUGACUCUGGGAGAAAUUUCCCUCCUGGCAGCAAUUCGAGGGCAGGGGAGCAUUUCAUGCACAAUCUUUUGUCUCAGCCUCCAGGGAGCUGCCAGUUUUCAUCCUGGCCCUUAAGCAGCCCUGAGCGUUGGUCACUAUCCUUGUCCUUAUGAGACUCAGUGUCUUUUGGGAGAGACCAAGAAAGAAGCUUGGAAUGACCACUAGGCGUUAUUAAAUAUUAGAAUGAGGGGUAAUGAGCCUGUUUUGUGUAUUUUUUGGUUAUAAGUGACAGAAAUAGAUGAAGCCAAGCAGGAUUUUUGUGGAUUUAUUUUUUGGCCACACCUGUGGCAUGCAGACAUUCCCAUCCAGGGACUGAACCAGUGCUACAGCAGUGACCCAAGCCACAUUGGUGACAAUGCUGAAUCCUUAACCUACGGAGCCACGAGGGAACUCUCAAGCAGAGAUUUGUAGUUUUAUAAAACUGGUUGAGCGGGUACCCACCCAUUUGAUGUUCAUGACAACCCUGCAGGUUUAUCUGCCUUCUAUACCCACUCCCCCCAGCCUCCCUGGCACCCCACAGUCUGUUCAUGCAGCCAGAGGGAUCCUGUUAAAACCCAAAUGACAGUGCACAUCCCUUCUGCUCAAAACCCUCCCCCAGCUCCCACCUCCCUCAGAGUAAAAGCCAAAUCUUGACUACGAGGUACAAGAUCCACCCCCCUCUGAUGUAAUUUCCUGGUUGUUGGAGACCAUGGAAACUGCUGAACGAUGCAGUGAACAAAUUGGGCACACGUGCAAAAGCACAACCACAAGGAGAUAGUCUUAUCAUUAACGGCACCUGAUUGUGCUCAUUAACCUACACCACUUUCUCUAAUAAAAGGCAUGUGGGCUGAAGCCCAGGCAUCUUUGUGCUGCGAAACAGAGUGCCUCCUGGUCCCCCAUCUUGCAAAGUUCUGAGUGUGCAAAUCCUUUUCUAGAGGCAAGAUGGUCGUCUCUCCUUCUUCCUGAAACGGCUCAACAUGUAACUCACUGCACAGAGUGCUCAGCUCUUUUUGACAGACGGCAAUGCUUUUGCUGAGCCUUUCUUUCAGGCUCCCCCUUCGGCAAUCAUCAUGUCCAGGGGGAUCUUAACAUGCUUCUUUACAACCUCUGUUCUUUGUAGCUGAUGGUCCUCUAGAAUCCCAAUCAAUUCCCAUAUUUCCCGAAGGUGAUUCAGGGCUUUCUGGGGACAUACCAUGGACUCUUCUGCCAGCACCUCACUUCUCCUCAUGGUGGACGGUCCAAGCAGGUGGGCGUCAUGGCCCCUGAACUUCUCUGCACGGGCUCCAGGACAGCCACCAGCUGCAAGCAUCCUCAAGCAUCCUCAAGCAUCCUCAGGCAUCCUCAGGCAUCCUCAGGCAUCCUCAAGCUCACUCCCUAUCAGCGCUACAGUGGCUGCACCUUUUUGGAUUCCUGGCGGGUGUGUGGAGCGGUGGCGUGGAGGAGGGCCGGCUGACAUGUGACUUCCCAGGAGUGGCGCUGGGAGCAUGGGGUUGACGUGGUGCUGCAUUGUGGUUCUGGCUUCAUGGAGGGACAGGCCAUUCUUGAAGUUCAUCUUAUGGGCCAGGCUUCCCCUGAUGGACGAAGACCACAAGGAUUGGAGUGGGCCCCAUGGACUCCAUUCCUGGUCUGUCUUGCCGUGGUCUCUGAAGUCUCAGGGAGGAGGCUUGUUUUACACAGAUGUACUUUAUUCAUGGCUGGAACUUCAAAAUGAGAAAUAGGAGGUCUCUGUUUCACUGGUAUGUGUCUUGUGUUAUGCAUGUGCGGCGUUGCCAAAAUUCAUGAGAGCUCUACUUGGCUUAAAGGAAAUUAAGCGCUUACGUAAGUUUUCAACAUACCUAAAGUAAAUGAAUUUUUGGUUCACGUGAACUGCAAAAAAUUCAGUAUCAGACAUUUAUUAUUAGAUGUUAAUAUCAAAGUUUGUUGCUCUAAUAUAGACAUGUCUUUAGAGUCCUAGACAUUAAGUAUAAUUCCUUAUUGUACUGGGUUUAAUGGAGGAAUGUAACUGCAUUUUAUUAGGAGAAAAGAGUCUGUCUUAUAGCUUGUUAUUUUGAAUGGAAAGAUGGGGGACAGAGUCAUAGGGAUACAGAAAGUGAUGGAAGAUUCGUGGGACAUGGACAAUAAGAAGAAUUUUGUGCAUGGUUGGGGCUAAGUUUAAAAUUUCAGUAAACUAAUUUUAAAAGUAAGCUAGUACAAAACUUGAAUUUGGGUUUGGUCUCUGUAAAAAGAAGGAUUUUCUUAAGUCAGGGCUAUGGAAAAUCUAAGACGGCCUCUGGGUUCUUCACGGCUCCCUGGCAAUUCCAAUAAUGAAAAAGAAAUGGUUAGAAAACGUGUUUUCCACUUGGAAGACUUUCUACGUCCUAAUUUGGCUAUAUUUGGUAAAAAUGAGGGUAAUUUUAAAGAAAGACUGUUGUGAUUCAUAGUCUAGUUUUGUCUAUUGAGAUUAGUGUUUGCUGUUUAAAACUCACCUCCCUAAUAGUUCUCUGCUGCUAUGUUACAUUACUAUAAACUUAAAUUAUUUCUCUUAAUAAUUCAAGUUUGUUUCUGAA